rnacentral:rRNA from 1 species
GUAAUAUAUCGGAACGUGCCCAGUCGUGGGGGAUAACGUAGCGAAAGUUACGCUAAUACCGCAUACGAUCUAUGGAUGAAAGCGGGGGACCGUAAGGCCUCGCGCGAUUGGAGCGGCCGAUAUCAGAUUAGGUAGUUGGUGGGGUAAAGGCUCACCAAGCCAACGAUCUGUAGCUGGUCUGAGAGGACGACCAGCCACACUGGAACUGAGACACGGUCCAGACUCCUACGGGAGGCAGCAGUGGGGAAUUUUGGACAAUGGACGCAAGUCUGAUCCAGCCAUUCCGCGUGCAGGAUGAAGGCCCUCGGGUUGUAAACUGCUUUUGUACGGAACGAAAAGGUCUCUCUUAAUACGAGGGGCUCAUGACGGUACCGUAAGAAUAAGCACCGGCUAACUACGUGCCAGCAGCCGCGGUAAUACGUAGGGUGCAAGCGUUAAUCGGAAUUACUGGGCGUAAAGCGUGCGCAGGCGGUUAUGUAAGACAGAGGUGAAAUCCCCGGGCUCAACCUGGGAACUGCCUUUGUGACUGCAUAGCUAGAGUACGGUAGAGGGGGAUGGAAUUCCGCGUGUAGCAGUGAAAUGCGUAGAUAUGCGGAGGAACACCGAUGGUGAAGGCAAUCCCCUGGACCUGUACUGACGCUCAUGCA